rnacentral:SRP_RNA from 1 species
UGCCGGUCCCCUCGCAACACAAAGCCGUGAACCCGGUCAGGCCCGGAAGGGAGCAGCCGCAGCGGUGGUCGUGUGUGCCGAGAUGUGGCUGGCAGGG